UUUGGACACAGUGACCGUAACAGAGCCAAGCAGGACAUUUGUACCUUGCUGGGGAUCACCACUCUGCUUGGAAUUACCUGGGGCCUGAUCUUCUUUUCGUUUGGUUACUUGACCACGCCUGGCCUCUACAGUUUCUGCAUCCUGAACUCACUGCAAGGCUUGUUCAUCUUCCUUUGGUUUGUAUUGUCUGUAAAAAAGGCUGGAAACUCAGUGAAAAACACGAGCAGUGAAACACGCAGCACCAACACCUGAGCCUAAACCCAUCUUUGCACAACAUAUGUGUGUGUUUGUGUGUGUGUGUGUGUGUAGAAUUUGUACUGUAAUACUACUGUUUAUUUCUGUAUGGUGUUUGUAUAACAUGUUUCCCAUCUAGCACCAGCUCUUUGUAACAAAUGUAAAUAUCUGUCGUCUUAAACUUGUGUAUUUUGGGUUUAUUUCAUCUGAUUAUCUAAAUAUUUUUUGUGAUAAAAAAGGGAAGAAAGCCACAGUCAGAGGUUGGGAUUGUUUAGGUAGGCAACACAUUCAUAUUUCACAACAUGAUCUGUGUUAAAACUACAACGCAAAUGCUCACCUGCCAUUCUUUGAAUGCUUUUGCAAAUUCUCGGAGAUUAAUAUCUAUUUUGUCAAGCUGUAUUUAAUACAUAAUGUAUAUCAAAUACAGAUUUAUAUAUAUACUUUAUAUAUAUAGCACAUUGCACACACACACUGACAUUACUGUGACUGAUGAAAGCUCCAUUUGUCAGACCUGUAGGCUGAUACCACAUGUGCCACAGUCUAAAUUCCACUGAAAAGAAACACGCUCUGUGUGCUUCACUGCCGUCAUUAUAUUACUCUUGUAAAAAGAAUUUGCAUAAAACAAACACUUCCCGCAGGUCAAACACAAGCCCCACUGUGUUUUACUGAUAUUAAACACAUUUACUCAAAUAAUGAGUUGGCACAGCUCACCGAUGCUUCUCAGCCUGGUCACAUCAUAGAACUACUCUGUGUCUGCUCGAUGUUAAUAAGAAAAACAAUGGUUCCCUUACUGCUGUUCCUGCUGCUGCAUGAGUCCCUGGGUGGCCAAAAUCCAAAUAACAGCUUUAACAAUACAGUGUGUUUCAACAUUUCAAAUUAUGGUAUCAGUGUCUCCACGGCCGAUCUUCACAUUUCUGUGAUGGAUCAUGCGGAGUGCCAGCAUUCUAGUCAACCGUGCGUCAUUCUAUGCAGCUACAGCAACGGGUCAUGGCUCAAUACCAGGUCUGGUUGCUUAGAGGCUCAAGUGACAAACACUUCCUUCAAGGUGGAGUUCAGCAUUCAAACAUCCGUAAAUUGCACUAUAUACAAUUGUGAGAACUCGACCAUCAUCCCUUUGAUUCAAUCGCUGAACAGUCACAGCUCUGACCCUAGUGGAAUAAUUCAACUUUUCAAAACCAGGAGAUCAUGUUUGGAGCUCUUCAGGAAAGAUCGAGCAGUCAAGGAAGUCUUUAUAAAGCAAGUGCUGGUUGGUCCAUCACUGUGGUUCAGAUUUAAAUAUCUAUGA
rnacentral:lncRNA from 1 species